rnacentral:rRNA from 1 species
CCUACGGGUGACUGCAGUAGGGAAUAUUGCUCAAUGGGGGAAACCCUGAAGCAGCAACGCCGCGUGGAGGAUGAAGGUUUUCGGAGUGGAAACUCCUUUUGUUAGAGAAGAUAAUGACGGUAUCUAACGAAUAAGCACCGGCUAACUACGUGCCAGCAGCCGCGGUAAUACGGAGGGUGCAAGCGUUAUUCGGAAUCACUGGGCGUAAAGAGCGCGUAGGCGGGAUAGCAAGUCAGAUGUGAAAGCCUUUGGCUUAACCAUAGAAUUUCAUUUGAAACUGUUAUUCUAGAGUAUGGGAGAGGUAGGUGGAAUUCUUGGUGUAGGGGUAAAAUCCGUAGAGAUCAAGAGGAAUACUCAUUGCGAAGGCGACCUGCUAGAACGUAACUGACGCUGAUGCGCGAAAGCGUGGGGAGCAAACAGGAUUAGAUACCCGGGUAGUC